rnacentral:rRNA from 1 species
ACAGGGUGACAGGUGGUGCAUGGUUGUCGUCAGCUCGUGUCGUGAGAUGUUGGGUUAAGUCCCGCAACGAGCGCAACCCUCGACCUUAGUUGCCAGCGAGUCAAGUCGGGCACUCUAAGGUGACUGCCGGCUAAAAGUCGGAGGAAGGUGGGGAUGACGUCAAAUCAUCAUGCCCCUUAUGACCUGGGCUACACACGUGCUACAAUGGGCGGUACAAAGGGUCGCGAACCCGCGAGGGGGAGCCAAUCCCAAAAAGCCGCUCUCAGUUCGGAUUGCAGGCUGCAACUCGCCUGCAUGAAGCCGGAAUCGCUAGUAAUCGCGGAUCAGCAUGCCGCGGUGAAUACGUUCCCGGGCCUU